AAGGGGGCUCCGGCUCCCGCUAUCGGAUGAGCCUAUGUCGGAUUAGCUAGUUGGUGAGGUAACGGCUCACCAAGGCCACGAUCCGUAGCUGGUCUGAGAGGAUGAUCAGCCACAUCGGGACUGAGACACGGCCCGAACUCCUACGGGAGGCAGCAGUGGGGAAUAUUGGACAAUGGGGGAAACCCUGAUCCAGCCAUGCCGCGUGUGUGAAGAAGGCCCUCGGGUUGUAAAGCACUUUCAGCGAGGAAGAACGCCUAGCGGUUAAUACCCGCUAGGAAAGACAUCACUCGCAGAAGAAGCACCGGCUAACUCCGUGCCAGCAGCCGCGGUAAUACGGAGGGUGCAAGCGUUAAUCGGAAUUACUGGGCGUAAAGCGCGCGUAGGUGGCUUGAUAAGCCGGUUGUGAAAGCCCCGGGCUCAACCUGGGAACGGCAUCCGGAACUGUCAAGCUAGAGUGCAGGAGAGGAAGGUAGAAUUCCCGGUGUAGCGGUGAAAUGCGUAGAGAUCGGGAGGAAUACCAGUGGCGAAGGCGGCCUUCUGGACUGACACUGACACUGAGGUGCGAAAGCGUGGGUAGCAAACAGGAUUAGAUACCCUGGUAGUCCACGCCGUAAACGAUGUCGACCAGCCGUUGGGUGCCUAGCGCACUUUGUGGCGAAGUUAACGCGAUAAGUCGACCGCCUGGGGAGUACGGCCGCAAGGUUAAAACUCAAAUGAAUUGACGGGGGCCCGCACAAGCGGUGGAGCAUGUGGUUUAAUUCGAUGCAACGCGAAGAACCUUACCUACUCUUGACAUCCAGCGAAUUUGGUAGAGAUACCUUAGUGCCUUCGGGAACGCAGAGACAGGUGCUGCAUGGCUGUCGUCAGCUCGUGUUGUGAAAUGUUGGGUUAAGUCCCGUAACGAGCGCAACCCUUGUCCUUAUUUGCCAGCGCGUAAUGGCGGGAACUCUAAGGAGACUGCCGGUGACAAACCGGAGGAAGGUGGGGACGACGUCAAGUCAUCAUGGCCCUUACGAGUAGGGCUACACACGUGCUACAAUGGUCGGUACAAAGGGUCGCCAACUCGCGAGAGUGAGCCAAUCCCGAAAAGCCGAUCUCAGUCCGGAUCGGAGUCUGCAACUCGACUCCGUGAAGUCGGAAUCGCUAGUAAUCGUAGAUCAGAAUGCUACGGUGAAUACGUUCCC
rnacentral:rRNA from 1 species